AUUGAACGCUGGCGGCAUGCCUUACACAUGCAAGUCGAACGGUAACAGGCCGCAAGGUGCUGACGAGUGGCGAACGGGUGAGUAAUGCAUCGGAACGUGCCCAGUCGUGGGGGAUAACGCAGCGAAAGCUGUGCUAAUACCGCAUACGAUCUAUGGAUGAAAGCGGGGGACCGUAAGGCCUCGCGCGAUUGGAGCGGCCGAUGUCAGAUUAGGCAGUUGGUGGGGUAAAGGCCUACCAAGCCGACGAUCUGUAGCUGGUCUGAGAGGACGACCAGCCACACUGGGACUGAGACACGGCCCAGACUCCUACGGGAGGCAGCAGUGGGGAAUUUUGGACAAUGGGCGCAAGCCUGAUCCAGCAAUGCCGCGUGCAGGAAGAAGGCCUUCGGGUUGUAAACUGCUUUUGUACGGAACGAAACGGUCUGGGUUAAUACCCUGGGCUAAUGACGGUACCGUAAGAAUAAGCACCGGCUAACUACGUGCCAGCCGCCGCCGUAACAC
rnacentral:rRNA from 1 species